rnacentral:rRNA from 1 species
GAUGAACGCUGGCGGCGUGCCUAACACAUGCAAGUCGAGCGAAAAGACCAGGAGUUUGCGCCUCCGGCGUUAGCGGCGGAGGGGAGAGGAACUCGUGGUUAACCUACCUAUAAGACUGGGAUAAUAUCAGGAAACCGGAGCUAAUAACGGAUGAGAUAUUGAACCGCAUGGGUCCAUCGUUAAAGACGGUGUUGGUGUCAGUUAUAGCUUGCUCCGCGCCGCAUCAACUAGUUGGUAAGGUAACGGAUUAGCAAGGCAACGAUGCGUAGCCGACCUGAAAGGGUGUUUGCCCACACCGGAACAGAGGCACAUUCCACACACCUACGCGAAGCAGCAGUAGCGACUCCUACGCGAUGUGCCAGAGCCUAACAGUGCAACGCCGCGUAAGUGAUGAAGGUGUUCGGCUCGUAGAGCUCUGUUAGUCGGGAAGAUCAAAUGUGUAAUUACCUAGGCACGUCUUGACGGUACCUAAUGAGAAAGCCCCGGCUAACUACGUG